UACAGAGGUGCCAAGCGUUUAGGCGGAAUCACUGGGCUUAAAGCGCGCGUAGGCGGAUGUUUAAGUGUCUUGUGAAAUCCCACGGCUCAACCGUGGAACUGCUGGGCAUACUGGACAUCUCGAGGCACUCAGGGGCGAGCGGAACAAGUGGUGGAGCGGUGAAAUGCGUAGAUAUCACUUGGAACGCCAAUGGUGAAGACAGCUCGCUGGGGGUGUCCUGACGCUGAGGCGCG
rnacentral:rRNA from 1 species